rnacentral:rRNA from 1 species
UACGAAGGGGGCUAGCGUUGUUCGGAAUUACUGGGCGUAAAGCGCACGUAGGCGGAUACUUAAGUCAGGGGUGAAAUCCCGGGGCUCAACCCCGGAACUGCCUUUGAUACUGGGUAUCUCGAGUCCGGAAGAGGUGAGUGGAAUUCCGAGUGUAGAGGUGAAAUUCGUAGAUAUUCGGAGGAACACCAACGGCGAAGGCAGCUCGCUAGGACGGUACUGACGCUGAGACGCGAAAGCGUGGGGAGCGAACAGG